ACAAAACCGGUAUGAAGAAACCACGUGGACACUGCUACCCCCCAAAUUACCUCUUUAACUGAAUAUCUGCCGCGUGGGAUUGCUGGCUGCCUGGAAACUGCUGCUCUGGAGAGCUGGGGAAGUCUCUGGAAACGCAAAAUGCUGGAUGUGGUUUAACCCCCCCCCACGCCAGCCCUACGUACCCUCCGGCUCCGGGCUCCCACGCGGGGGAGAGCGUGGGAGGAGGAGGAAGAGCUGGGGCUCUCGGGAGCAGCAGGACUUGCUGCCCAUGCCCAAGGCACGAAGAUCUGCGAGGAGGAACUGCCACCGUGCACGAUACGCGUCCCAGAAGAAUUUUCGGUUUGUACUCGCCUCGGCGCAUCGCCUAGGGACUGAAUCAGCCUUCGUUUGGGUGAAAUGCAGAGGAGGAAGAUAUGAAUGUUACCAGCCCAAGUAAUACAUUUGUAAGCAGAAUAAACCAAGCAAAAAAAAUAUUCCAGUCUGCCGUGAAAAUCCUUGAAACCAGAGCUCAGACUGGGAGGAUGAAACGCAGUAGCUGGGUCAGCACCGGUGAGGGUGACGGUCCCUCCUGGCUCCCUCGGGCUGGUCCUGCCACCACGCUGGGCAUGCACGGAGCAGCGGCCGAGGACAAGCCUGUGCAAGGGCACAGCA